rnacentral:rRNA from 1 species
UGGCGGACGGGUGAGUAACGCGUGAGAAUCUGUCUUCAGGUCGGGGACAACAGUUAGAAAUGACUGCUAAUACCGGAUGUGCCGAAAGGUGAAAGAUUUAUUGCCUGAAGUUGAGCUCGCGUCASAUUAGCUAGUAGGUGGUGUAAGAGACUACCUAGGCGUCGAUCUGUAGCUGGUCUGAGAGGACAAUCAGCCACACUGGAACUGAGACACGGUCCAGACUCCUACGGGAGGCAGCAGUGGGGAAUUUUCCGCAAUGGGCGAAAGCCUGACGGAGCAAUACCGCGGGAGGGACGAAGGCUUUUGGGUCGUAAACCUCUUUUCUCAAGGAAGAUARUGACGGUACUUGAGGAAUAAGCAUCGGCUAACUCUGUGCCAGCAGCCGCGGUAAUACAGAGGAUGCAAGCGUUAUCCGGAAUGAUUGGGCGUAAAGCGUCCGCAGGUGGUUUUGUAAGUCUGCUGUUAAAGCGUGUGGCUCAACCACAUACAGGCAGUGGAAACUAUAAGACUAGAGUAUGUUAGGGGUAGAGGGAAUUCCCAGUGUAGCGGUGAAAUGCGUAGAGAUUGGGAAGAACACCGGUGGCGAAAGCGCUCUGCUAGGACAAUACUGACACUGAGGGACGAAAGCUAGGGGAGCGAAUGGGAUUAGAUACCCCAGUAGUCCUAGCCGUAAACGAUGGAUACUAGGCGUUGCCCGUAUCGACCCGGGCAUUGUCGUAGCUAACGCGUUAAGUAUCCCGCCUGGGGAGUACGCACGCAAGUGUGAAACUCAAAGGAAUUGACGGGGGCCCGCACAAGCGGUGGAGUAUGUGGUUUAAUUCGAUGCAACGCGAAGAACCUUACCAGGACUUGACAUGUCGCGAACCCUGCUGAAAGGUGGGGGUGCCUUCGGGAGCGCGAACACAGGUGGUGCAUGGCUGUCGUCAGCUCGUGUCGUGAGAUGUUGGGUUAAGUCCCGCAACGAGCGCAACCCUCGUUUUUAGUUGCCAUCAUUAAGUUGGGCACUCUAGAGAGACUGCCGGUGACAAACCGGAGGAAGGUGGGGAUGACGUCAAGUCAGCAUGCCCCUUACGUCCUGGGCUACACACGUACUACAAUGCUACGAACAAAGGGCAGCUAGUUAGCAAUAACAUGCAAAUCUCAGAAAUCGUAGCUCAGUUCAGAUUGAAGGCUGCAACUCGCCUUCAUGAAGUCGGAAUCGCUAGUAAUUGCAGGUCAGCAUACUGCAGUGAAUUCGUUCCCGGGCCUUGUACACACCGCCCGUCACACCAUGGAAGCUGGUCACGCCCGAAGUAGUUAUCCUAACAGUUCGCUGGGGGAGACUCCGAAGGUAGGGCUGGUGACUGGGGUGAAGUCGUAACAAGGUAGCCGUACCGGAAGGUGUGGCUGGAUCACCUCCUUU